rnacentral:rRNA from 2 species
GGCAUGACGCUGGCGGCAGGCCUACACAUGCAGUCCAGCGGAUGAGUGGAGCUUGCUCCAUGAUUCCGCGGCGGACGGGUGAGUAAUGCCUAGGAAUCUGCCUGGUAGUGGGGGACAACGUUUCGAAAGGAACGCUAAUACCGCAUACGUCCUACGGGAGAAAGUGGGGGAUCUUCGGACCUCACGCUAUCAGAUGAGCCUAGGUCGGAUUAGCUAGUUGGUGAGGUAAAGGCUCACCAAGGCGACGAUCCGUAACUGGUCUGAGAGGAUGAUCAGUCACACUGGAACUGAGACACGGUCCAGACUCCUACGGGAGGCAGCAGUGGGGAAUAUUGGACAAUGGGCGAAAGCCUGAUCCACCAUGCCGCGUGUGUGAAGAAGUCUUCGAUUGUAAAGCACUUUAAUUGGGAGGAAGGGCAUAAUUAAUACCUUGCUGUUUUGACUUACCACAAAUACCGGCUACUUCUGCCACCCGGUA